AGAGUUUGAUCCUGGCUCAGAUUGAACGCUGGCGGCAUGCUUUAGACAUGCAAGUCGAACGCGAAAGUAGACUUCGGUCUGCGAGUAGAGUGGCGAACGGGUGAGUAACACGUAGGAAUCUGCCCUAAAGUGGGGGACAACUCCGCGAAAGCGGAGCUAAUACCGCAUAAUCUCUUCGGAGAAAAGCAGGGGAUCUUUCGGGACCUUGUGCUUUAGGAUGAGCCUGCGCCGGAUUAGCUUGUUGGUGGGGUAAUGGCCUACCAAGGCAGCGAUCCGUAGCUGGUCUGAGAGGACGAUCAGCCACAUUGGGACUGAGACACGGCCCAAACUCCUACGGGAGGCAGCAGUCGGGAAUAUUGGACAAUGGGCGAAAGCCUGAUCCAGCAAUGCCGCGUGUGUGAAGAAGGCCUGCGGGUUGUAAAGCACUUUCAGUGGGGAGGAAAUAUUCAAGGUUAAUACCCUUGGAGGUUGACGUUAUCCACAGAAGAAGCACCGGCUAACUCUGUGCCAGCAGCCGCGGUAAUACAGAGGGUGCAAGCGUUAAUCGAAAUUACUGGGCGUAAAGCGUACGUAGGCGGAAACUCAAGUCGGAUGUGAAAACCCUGGGCUUAACCUGGGAACUGCAUUCGAUACUGUGUUUCUAGAGUAUGGUAGAGGAAAGUGGAAUUUCCGGUGUAGCGGUGAAAUGCGUAGAUAUCGGAAAGAACACCAGUGGCGAAGGCGACUUUCUGGACCAAUACUGACGCUGAGGUACGAAAGCGUGGGGAGCAAACAGGAUUAGAGACCCUGGUAGUCCACGCCGUAAACGAUGAGAACUAGACGUUAGUCUCCUUCGGGAGGGUAGUGUCGUAGCUAACGCGUUAAGUUCUCCGCCUGGGGAGUACGGUCGCAAGAUUAAAACUCAAAGGAAUUGACGGGGGCCCGCACAAGCGGUGGAGCAUGUGGUUUAAUUCGAUGCUACGCGAAGAGCCUUACCUACCCUUGAAAUCCUCGGAAUCCUCUAGAGAUAGAGGAGUGCCUUCGGGAACCGAGUGACAGGUGCUGCAUGGCUGUCGUCAGCUCGUGUCGUGAGAUGUUGGGUUAAGUCCCGUAACGAGCGCAACCCUUGUCCUUAGUUGCCAACCUUACCUUGAGUAAGAGGAACUCUAAGGAGACUGCCGGUGAUAAACCGGAGGAAGGUGGGGACGACGUCAAGUCAUCAUGGCCCUUACGGGUAGGGCUACACACAUGCUACAAUGGGCAGUACAGAGGGUUGCCAAAUCGUGGGAUGGAGCCAAUCCCACAAAGCUGUUCGUAGUUCGGAUUGAAGUCUGCAACUCGACUUCAUGAAG
rnacentral:rRNA from 1 species